rnacentral:rRNA from 1 species
GCGCAGGAUAUUUGAAGAAGUGCUGACCUUAGUACGAGAGGACCGGGUUGGACGGACCGCUGGUGUAGCUGUUGUCAUGCCUAUGGCACUGCAGCGUAGCUACGUCCGGAUGAGAUAAGCGCUGAAAGCAUCUAAGUGCGAAACUCACUUCAAGAUGAGAUAUCCAUACAGGACCGUCGGAGAUGACGACGUUGAUAGGCGACAGGUGUACGCACAGCAAUGUGUUGAGCCGAGUCGUACUAAUGAUCCGAUGACUUC